rnacentral:rRNA from 1 species
AUUGAACGCUGGCGGCAGGCCUAACACAUGCAAGUCGAACGAGUGGCGGACGGGUGAGUAAUGUCUGGGAAACUGCCUGAUGGAGGGGGAUAACUACUGGAAAACGUAGCUAAUACCGCAUAACAUCCGAUGUGCCCAGAUGGGAUUAGCGUGUUGGUGGGGUAACGGCUCACCAAGGCGAAGAUCCCUAGCUGGUCUGAGAGGAUGACCAGCCACACUGGAACUGAGACACGGUCCAGACUCCGACGGGAGGCAGCAGUGGGGAAUAUUGCACAAUGGGCGCAAGCCUGAUCGAGCCAUGCCGCGUGUAUGAAGAAGGCCUUCGGGUUGGAAAGUACUGUCAGCGGGGAGGCGUUACCCGCAGAAGAAGCACCGGCUAACUCCGUGCCAGCCGCCGCGGUAAUUC